rnacentral:rRNA from 1 species
GUCGAGCGCGCGUAUCAUACGUCAGCGGCAGACGGGUGAGUAACGCGUGGGAACGUACCUUUUGGUUCGGAACAACACAGGGAAACUUGUGCUAAUACCGGAUAAGCCCUUACGGGGAAAGAUUUAUCGCCGAAAGAUCGGCCCGCGUCUGAUUAGCUAGUUGGUAGGGUAAUGGCCUACCAAGGCGACGAUCAGUAGCUGGUCUGAGAGGAUGAUCAGCCACAUUGGGACUGAGACACGGCCCAAACUCCUACGGGAGGCAGCAGUGGGGAAUAUUGGACAAUGGGGGCAACCCUGAUCCAGCCAUGCCGCGUGAGUGAUGAAGGCCCUAGGGUUGUAAAGCUCUUUUGUGCGGGAAGAUAAUGACGGUACCGCAAGAAUAAGCCCCGGCUAACUUCGUGCCAGCAGCCGCGGUAAUACGAAGGGGGCUAGCGUUGCUCGGAAUCACUGGGCGUAAAGGGUGCGUAGGCGGGUUUUUAAGUCAGGGGUGAAAUCCUGGAGCUCAACUCCAGAACUGCCUUUGAUACUGAAGAUCUUGAGUCCGGGAGAGGUGAGUGGAACUGCGAGUGUANAGGUGAAAUUCGUAGAUAUUCGCAAGAACACCAGUGGCGAAGGCGGCUCACUGGCCCGGUACUGACGCUGAGGCACGAAAGCGUGGGGAGCAACAGGAUUAGAUACCCUGGUAGUCCACGCCGUAACGAUGAAUGCAGCCGUU